GCUGCUCGCGCGGGACCACCAACUGGACGGUGGUGACGGGGAAGGAAGGCAAUGACAUCACCAUGACAGGCAAGGCUCCAGCGACAGACGAGGAGGUGGGGGCGGAGCCUGGGAUGUUGCCGUUGAGGGUGACCGAAAAGGCGGACAGUAUAUGCAGAUGAGGUUAGAGACUCUGGAAGACGUGAGUGGGGGUGACUGAAAAGAUGUAGAUGAGGUGAGGGAGGAUCGUAAACAUGGACGUGUGUAUUCUGGAAGACGUGAGUGUGGAGUUUUUGUCUCAUCUGAUCAAAUCUAGACUCCCCAACGUGAAUCUAAGGGGGUAAUGGAGGACAUCCGUCGGCGCGGAGAUCAAAUGCUGGUCAUUGCUGCUUCACGGAGACCAAAUGCUGGUCUUUGGCUGUUUCACAUUAUUUUGUAUUUCAACAAAUCAAAGCUCUCACGAUCCGUGUAAUGUGGCACAGACUCCACCAUUUAGCAAGGACACCAAAUGUCUUACAUGUCCGUUGGCAUAAGCCAGCCAGUCUAUUUUUCACCUGGGCCAAAACCUAUUUUCCAAAACAAAAACUGCUGCCUGCUGGUCAUAGAUUUAGUUAAACCAAGACUCCCAAAGUGAGUGUAAGGAUGUAAGUGCAAGUCGUCACCCAUGUGUAUAGUAGCCAAAUAUCUUGUACCUCCCGAGACCUAUUAUUCCACCCACUAGUUUGUUUUUAUUAAUACCACAUGUGAAAUGAGUGAAGAUGACACAAUGAAAAUGUCACCUAAAGUUGAAAAUGUAUUCUGCUGUUUACUCUGUGAUAAACAAUGGUUUGGAAAUUGGAGUCCUGCACUAGACCUUAGGAAACCAGGUCACUGUAUUCGCAAGACUCACCUUCCAUGCGGUCAUCAUGCUGUUGCAGCCUUGCAUUGUCACUCGAGGUUAGAGGGGGUAAAACAAUUGGGAAUCUGGACAUUAAUGGCUGCCCUUGUUUCAACUGACGAGACAAAAGACAAUGGAAAGACUAUUUUUCCAAGGGAGCCUUUAGUCUGUUGUCUUAUUUAAGUGAUGACCUUAUUGUCACUGUUUCAAAAGGCUCUCAAGGGCUCUGUCAGAUGAGUGACUCAACUCGAGGUCAGGUGAAGAGGGACACACAAAUUUAUCUCACUCCAGAGGACUUUGUGGGGAAAGCAGUAAAAAACCGAGCCAGAGAGUCUCUGUGGACCACAUGUUGAAAAGGCGUGCGACUGUCGUCUCGGUUGUGGAAACACUUCAAAAGUCACUGCGUCACGGAGGGUUCUGCUGUCUACACCCGAGACCAAUGCUGAUCAAAUGGUUCCUCAGAGAAUGUUGAGCCAUGUGAUCUUUUUGAUGAGAUGCUCAAAACUCACUGGGGGGGGGGGGGGGGGGGGGCGGACAUCAGAGGAACUAAAUAAAAUGAGAAUAAUACAAAACCACAGAAAUCUCUGGCAAACCAAUUUUUAACGAUUUGCACUGCAACAUAGGUCUAAAUAAAUAAAUAAAUACAUCCUGCAACAGUUGCACUCAAAGCGUGAGGGUGGUCCAAACUACAAAGAAAUAACACCUUUGCACUGAAUGGUCUCUGUGAGCCUGAUCAGUAUUUUAAAGAGGUCAUAGAAUGGAUGAACGAAGCAUUUUACCUUGUUCUGUGAUGUUAACACAGAAGGUAUGCAACUUUGGCUACUUUACAGCCAUUGGCUACUCACUUCAACUUCAAGCCAGUUUAGCCUACUGUAACAAUAGCCCGGAGCCCAUGGAGUCCUGAUUGAUAGAGCCAGAAUUGGAGAAGAAGCCAGAUACUGAGGGAGAACCAGUCCCUGAAAGAUUGGAAUUACAUGUUUCUGACUGACAAGUAUUGUUCUUUUGUACAUUCUCCCUAUUGGCACUUAAGUCUGACAAAGCAUAACCCAUAUAAUCCCUAGAAAAAAUGUAAAAUCUACUCUAUUAAUUUGCUGUCCAACAACCUGGGCUUUUCAUAAAUGAGGUUGUAAUGUAUUGGGUGCUGCUUUUGGCAGUAAUUGGCAGUAAAAGAUAUGGACACAGCCAUCCCGUAGACUUCGAAUGAGACGAGUGAAGCCAAUUUGAACCCAUUUCCUGUUGGUCGACUUUGAUUCUCGCACAUCCAGAAGAGUGAGAAACGUGUGACGUCAAGCAAUGGACUGAAACACAGUAACUCGUCUGGUAGCUGUGCUAAGAAGAUUGAUAGCGUGCUGAGUGCUGAGUUCGUGUCGUGGAAAAAAUCACUGACUUUUAACUCUUAACUUAGCACUCUGAACAAAAACCAGCGGAGAACGGUCUGAGAUGAGAAGUGGCCGCUUGUGGCCUUUUAAGUCCUCCUGGGUACAGCUCUGAAUGCACAGAGACUAAGAGUCGCCAGGCAGGAGUUGCGAAUGAUGGAUGUCCUCUGCAGCGGAGACUCCACGACCCAGGCCUUGGGGAGAAGGUGCACACGUUCUGACGUUUGCACCCUUGGGGGAAAGUUUUUGUAUGUGGUCAAAAACACCUCUUUUUUUACUUAUGGCCAACCCUGGCCCGGUGUCUGCCCCCUAUGUAAUCGGCAGACCCUUUUUCAUCCAAUCAAUGUAUAUUCAAUAAAUCAUAUAGGUAGAUGAGCUCACUGAGCCGCCACCAAAAUGAUUAAAUAAUCCCCAGUAGGCCUGUGUCACGUUCGCGCACGUGCAUGACAUCCUGUCCCAGCUUCUGCCUGGCCACCUGGCCGCACAUGAACUCUUCAUGAACUUUACUACAUAUAUCUUGAGAUCUUAAAAAAAAUCUACCACAUUCGAGUGCAGGUUUUGGUGGGGAUUUGUUUUGACGUAGAGCCAACCCAUCAAAACAUCAUUUAAUUGCUUUUCCCCCUUGAUGCUUUCCUAAAUAUCUUAACCAUGGACUUUGCCCUACACUGCCUUCAAGUUUCUUAUCCAGAGAAUACGGUUAGGCUACUUCGCUCUUGUCGCAUGCUCAUUACGUCAUGUUAGCAUUGUUUUUGGGAAAAAGGUUUAUUACUCAGCCAUAAAGUGAGUUACAGGUAAUGACGCCAGACACAUACUGUUGUAUUUCUCCGAAAAUAGAAAAGGUUCAUACAGUAUAAACACUUCAGGUGUAACGUUAUUUGAUGUCAAAGUGAUGCCAAAAUGAAUAGGGUUCAAUGGAAUGCUAGCUUGAAGUAGUCGUCUUAUAGCCUCAGAGCCGCCCAUAGUGGCUAUGCUUUCCAAACGUUCACCUUACCCUUGGUAUCAACUUAUUCAGCCCACCACUCAAGCUUUAUACUCUCUCUUUCAGAUCAGUUCAAUGUGCUAUAUUUAGCUUGUAAGCUUGGGCUUUGGUAAAAGGGAGUUUUGUAUGGAGAUGGAGGAAAUAUGAGCCUGCAAGUUCUUAUACAACCACUAUGUGUUAUGUAACCCCAAAAUAUGGAUGUAUAGCCUAUUAUGCAAGUUACCUUAAAGAAGCACGUAUCAUUUUGAAACUGUCCACCAUAAAUUUUGGAAUUGUGUUUGUUUGUUUACUUAGCAGUAUACAAAGUUAGCUAGGGAACAUACCAAUGGGUGAUCUGCUUGCAUGUUAGCUAAGGUUGCGUUCCGAUCACAAGGGUCCCUACACUGAAUUCCCAACUCCCUCUGCACAGGGUGUAAAAUUCAUAGGGAACCUCACAAGGAUCUCGAUCGAUUUUAUUUGGAAUGCCCUGCGAGUCUUAGGUUGUCAUAGAGAUGUUUGGAUUCACGAGACGUGUCCGUUCAAAACAAUGGAGUGUAGUUAGCUUGUUAGCAGUUGGCUCACAUUUCAGAUGUGUUUUGGGAUUACAUUAAAGGCUUUUUUAGAAUGUACAGUAUCUAUUUCUCUCCCAGCAUUAAAAAAGCUAAACAAAUGAUGUCCAUCUGCAAACAUGUCUGUCUCAGACCAUCUACUACUGACGUCUGGGAGCCAUCUAACCUCCGGUGAAGUAGCGGCGUGAAGCUGGAAGUGGGCUGGUGUGUAUGUAAAUUUUGGGGCAUUGCAAAGGUACAAGCCAGAGCCCCUGAGUUGUCAUCAUCUAUUAGCUUUGUUGCGAUUUGCCGAUUACAGUGGCAGUUUUGAAUAGUGAGAUUUCCAUACAAAAGAGAUAACGAUGGGAUUGUGAGGUUCCCUGUAUGUUUAUUUUACAUACCGAACUGCCAUUGUUCAACUAUUCCAAGGUAAAUUCGGUUUUGCAUUCUAUGACCUCUUUAAUGGACCCGAAAAAGACAUACCGAACUUCGAGAAAACCGGAGAUGGUUCCGCUGUUCUAAUGGAAUUCCAAGCAGCACAGGUGUUGUUAACUUUCACAGUAAAUAACAACGCAAUUUCAUUUACUGAGAAUUAAUUGAUUAUUUUAAGCUCGAAUGUAAAUGCCAUCUUCAUUAAUUGUAGUGUAGAAUACCUGUGAUGUACUUGAAAUUGUUUUGAUUUUGACCAAGAUUUUUAAGGAAUGUUCUCUUUUUCCCUACGGCCAGCAAAGUGUAUUUUCGGAGACAGAAAAAAUGGAGUCUAUGAAGGCCUGUGAAAAUUACUCUGUAAACAAAAGUGUGUUUGUAGAUGUUUGUAGAAUGCUAUUUUGAACAGAUACUUGGCUGUUGUUGUUUUUUUUGUGAUGAUCUGCUGUUGUGACUAAGUAAAGUGCUUUGUUGUUA